GAUGAACGCUGGCGGCGUGCCUAAUACAUGCAAGUCGAGCGAACAGACGAUGAGCUUGCUCCUCUGACGUUAGCGGCGGACGGGUGAGUAACACGUGGAUAACCUACCUAUAAUACGGGGAUGACUUCGGGAAACCGGAGCUAAUACCGGAUAAUAUAUUGAACCGCAGGGUGCAAUAGUGAAAGACGGUUUUGCUGUCACUUAUAGAUGGAUCCGCGCCGCAUUAGCUAGUUGGUAAGGUAACGGCUUACCAAGGCAACGAUGCGUAGCCGACCUGAGAGGGUGAUCGGCCACACUGGAACUGAGACACGGUCCAGACUCCUACGGGAGGCAGCAGUAGGGAAUCUUGCGCAAUGGGCGAAAGCCUGACGGAGCAACGCCGCGUGAGUGAUGAAGGUCUUCGGAUCGUAAAACUCUGUUAUUAGGGAAGAACAACUGUGUAAGUAACUAUGCCCGUCUUGACGGUACCUAAUCAGAAAGCCACGGCUAACUACGUG
rnacentral:rRNA from 1 species